CACGUAGGGGGCGAGCGUUGUCCGGAUUUAUUGGGCGUAAAGAGCUCGUAGGCGGUUUCGUAAGUCGGAUGUGAAAACUCCAGGCUCAACUUGGAGACGCCAUUCGAUACUGCGAUGACUUGAGUCCGGUAGGGGAGUGUGGAAUUCCUGGUGUAGCGGUGGAAUGCGCAGAUAUCAGGAGGAACACCGGUGGCGAAGGCGGAUCUCUGGGCCAUUACUGACGCUGAGGAGCGAAAGCGUGGGGAGCGAACAGG
rnacentral:rRNA from 1 species